AUUGAACGCUGGCGGCAGGCCUAACACAUGCAAGUCGAACGAGUGGCGGACGGGUGAGUAAUGUAUGGGAAAGUGCCUGAUGGUGGGGGAUAACUACUGGAAACGGUAGCUAAUACCGCAUACCAUCGGAUGUGCCCAGAUGGGAUUAGCUAGUAGGUGGGGUAACGGCUCACCAAGGCGACGAUCCCUAGCGGGUCUGAGAGGAUGACCCGCCACACUGGAACUGAGACACGGUCCAGACUCCUACGGGAGGCAGCAGUGGGGAAUAUUGCACAAUGGGCGCAAGCCUGAUGCAGCCAUGCCGCGUGUAUGAAGAAGGCCUUCGGGUUGUAAAGUACUUUCAUCGGGGAGGCGGUACCCGAAGAAGAAGCACCGGCUAACUCCGUGCCAGCCGCCGCGGUAAUUC
rnacentral:rRNA from 1 species